UACGUAGGGUGCAAGCGUUGUCCGGAAUUAUUGGGCGUAAAGAGCUCGUAGGCGGUCUGUUGCGUCGGCUGUGAAAACCCGGGGCUCAACUCCGGGCCUGCAGCCGAUACGGGCAGACUAGAGUUCGGCAGGGGAGACUGGAAGUUCCUGGUGAUAGCGGUGAAAUGCGCAGAUAUCUGGAGGAACACCGGUGGCGAAGGCGGCAUUCUGGACCAUAACUGACACUGAG
rnacentral:rRNA from 1 species